rnacentral:lncRNA from 1 species
AAAAGGUAAACAGUCCUACUAUGAGACUGUAGUGCUAAUGAGAAUGUAGUGCUAAUGAGCUUAAGAGAAGCUGAGAACAGUCAUAGAGAAUUCCGUGUAUCAUAUGCAUGACAUGAUUUUGUCAUUUGGUUUUCUAACACCUGCUGUGUUGUUUCCAGGUACUCUGCUUUGUGUGCUCGGUUUUAUUCCAGCCCUCAUGGUCAGCACAUAAAGUGGGUCUGAAGUAGCUUGGCUUGGAUGGGGUUAACCAGCAAGAAUCCAAAAAGGUGGUAGGCUGUACACAGCUUUCCCGUUUCUACCUUUGACAGGCUGGGAUGCAGAGCCUCCCACUUCACCUGAAUUCUUGACGCAAGUUCUCUGGUAAGAGUUUGUCCCAAUUCAUGAGUGGAACCAGCAAUAGCCUGCUGCAAUAUCAGCCAUGUGUCCUGAUGAGCAAGUUGAACAGACCAUCUCUACCUCCUGUGGUCCUCCAAGCAACCUUAGGAACAGCUAUGGGGCUUGCAACUUCUGUUCGGAUGAUUGGAGCUGGCCUUUCAAAUCUUGUUGGGCACAUUCUCAGAACAAAGGUGGGAAUGCUUCCCCUACCACUCACACAGAGACAUCAGCAGCAUGUUAGUGGAAUAUUGUGA